GGAUAGAGAGUGAGAGAGAGAAAAAAAAGGGAGACAGAAACUUUUGCUUAUGAUUUAAUCAAGUACAAAGGCCAUACCGCCAACCAAUGUGGACCAAAAUAUCACAUCCCCACCAGCGGGGCCUUCUACUUACGCUGCAGCUUUUUGGUGGGUGUUUCUGUGUGGCCGUGUCUGCGGGGCAGGUAUGGCGAUGGGUGCGGCAGUGGGAUGGAAGAGACGUCAUGUGUCUGCAGCUUGUACCAGUGAGGCUUGUCAUCUAGCAGGGCAGUCUCCAGCUCGAUCAGGAUCUAGGAUCACAGACAGUCAGAAAGUCACUCUCCUCCUCUUGUAUUCUGGGUUGGUCCCACACUGUAAUCUCCAGCAUGUGCUCCCUGAAAUCCCGACGAUGGACAUGAGAGUACACAAACGUCUGGUUCCACUUGGGUUCUAGACUUUUCUUGACCG